AUGGCGAGUGGCGAACGGGUGAGAAAUACAUCGGAACGUGCCCUGUAGUGGGGGAUAACUAGUCGAAAGAUUAGCUAAUACCGCAUACGACCUGAGGGUGAAAGUGGGGGACCGCAAGGCCUCAUGCUAUAGGAGCGGCCGAUGUCUGAUUAGCUAGUUGGUGGGGUAAAGGCCCACCAAGGCGACGAUCAGUAGCUGGUCUGAGAGGACGAUCAGCCACACUGGGACUGAGACACGGCCCAGACUCCUACGGGAGGCAGCAGUGGGGAAUUUUGGACAAUGGGGGCAACCCUGAUCCAGCAAUGCCGCGUGUGUGAAGAAGGCCUUCGGGUUGUAAAGCACUUUUGUCCGGAAAGAAAUCGCACUUACUAAUAUUAGGUGUGGAUGACGGUACCGGAAGAAUAAGGACCGGCUAACUACGUGCCAGCAGCCGCGGUAAUACGUAGGGUCCAAGCGUUAAU
rnacentral:rRNA from 1 species